rnacentral:lncRNA from 1 species
CCUUGAAUAAGCCUAAAUGCCGUUUUCCGACGAAAUUAUUUUUAUCAGAAGGAUUUAUUCCCUUUCGAUAACAUUUUUGGCUGUGGUUCCGAAUACUCCCCGCUCCAAAAACUUAUUUUUUCACUUUCUAACAGUGGAAUGGUUAGAGAGGUGACUUCUUUGACUUGUCCCUGUGCGGCAGAAUCCGUCAUUUCCGCAAGGGUUCGAUUAUAUUUUAAUAAAUUGUUGAUCUGUUUUCUUACUUGUGGGAGGACGUUUCAUUUUCCCUGCUCUGCUCUGUGCAUGCGCAUUUCCGUUCGCCUCGCUGCUGUCUGCGUUUCGCUUCGCGUGUUCCGUGCCACUGCCAGAGAUCGCAUGUGGUCGGCGUCGCAUCCCG